CAACUCCAAAGGUCCUGAAUCCAAGCCCCAAUUGUGUCAGUGCUGUUUUUGCAACACAAGGGGGACUGAAAUAAAAUAUGGCAGGCUUUUCCUAGUGAGUUAUCUGCUGACUGAGCUGUAGCUGUUAAGUCCUGGAAAUCCUAUGCGAUGGUCCACAUGGUCUAUGGAGGACAAAGUCUUUGUGGGCCACGUUCUUUCCCAGGAUGCAGUGCCAAAUGUGACUUAGCUUUCAGUCAAUUUAAUCACCCUAGUCAGAUUGCUGCAAUGGAUCCAUGCUGUCUCGCAGUGCCACCAUUUCCAGAUCUGAAAGAGGACUGUCCAGUUCAGGAAUAUGAAUGAGGCUCAUUUGUGUAGCCACUCUCCAAUGGAACAGUGUCGUCCUCGUCGCUGUCCAAGUUGGGUUGUGGCCAGGUAAUGCUCUGGAUCACGGUCUACAAGGGAUCAA